GGCCCAGACUCCUACGGGAGGCAGCAGUAGGGAAUCUUCCGCAAUGGACGAAAGUCUGACGGAGCAACGCCGCGUGAGUGAUGAAGGUUUUCGGAUCGUAAAACUCUGUUGUUAGGGAAGAACAAGUGCCGUUCGAAAGGGCGGCACCUUGACGGUACCUAACGAGAAAGCCACGGCUAACUACGUGCCAGCAGCCGCGGUAAUACGUAGGUGGCAAGCGUUGUCCGGAAUUAUUGGGCGUAAAGCGCGCGCAGGCGGUCUCUUAAGUCUGAUGUGAAAGCCCCCGGCUCAACCGGGGAGGGUCAUUGGAAACUGGGAGACUUGAGUACAGAAGAGGAGAGUGGAAUUCCACGUGUAGCGGUGAAAUGCGUAGAGAUGUGGAGGAACACCAGUGGCGAAGGCGACUCUCUGGUCUGUAACUGACGCUGAGGCGCGAAAGCGUGGGGAGCAAACAGGAUUAGAUACCCUGGUAGUCCACGCCGUAAACGAUGAGUGCCAGGUGUUAGGGGUUUCGAAGCCCUUAGUGCCGAAGUUAACACAUUAAGCACUCCGCCUGGGGAGUACGACCGCAAGGUUGAAACUCAAAGGAAUUGACGGGGGCCCGCACAAGCAGUGGAGCAUGUGGUUUAAUUCGAAGCAACGCGAAGAACCUUACCAGGUCUUGACAUCCUUUGACCACCCUAGAGAUAGGGCUUUCCCCUUCGGGGGACAAAGUGACAGGUGGUGCAUGGUUGUCGUCAGCUCGUGUCGUGAGAUGUUGGGUUAAGUCCCGCAACGAGCGCAACCCUUGACCUUAGUUGCCAGCAUUGAGUUGGGCACUCUAAGGUGACUGCCGGUGACAAACCGGAGGAAGGUGGGGAUGACGUCAAAUCAUCAUGCCCCUUAUGACCUGGGCUACACACGUGCUACAAUGGAUGGUACAAAGGGUUCGAAG
rnacentral:rRNA from 2 species